rnacentral:piRNA from 1 species
UGACCGAGAGAGCCUGCGGAACCUGCGCGGC